rnacentral:tRNA from 1 species
GCCCGGGUGGCGAAAUUGGUAGACGCAAGGGACUUAAAAUCCCUCGGUGGCAACACCGUGCCGGUUCGAGUCCGGCCCCGGGCACCA